rnacentral:rRNA from 1 species
UACGGAGGGAGCUAGCGUUGUUCGGAAUUACUGGGCGUAAAGCGCGCGUAGGCGGCUUUGUAAGUUAGAGGUGAAAGCCCGGGGCUCAACCCCGGAACUGCCUUUAAAAACUGCAUCGCUUGAAUCCGGGAGAGGUGAGUGGAAUUCCGAGUGUAGAGGUGAAAUUCGUAGAUAUUCGGAAGAACACCAGUGGCGAAGGCGGCUCACUGGACCGGCAUUGACGCUGAGGUGCGAAAGCGUGGGGAGCAAACAGG